rnacentral:rRNA from 1 species
AACGAACGCUGGCGGCAGGCUUAACACAUGCAAGUCGAGCGCAUCCUCCGGGGUGAGCGGCGGUCGGGUGAGUAACGCGUGGGAACGUGCCCUCUUCUACGGAAUAGUCCCGGGAAACUGAGAGUAAUGUCGGAUACGCUCGCCAGGGGAAAGAUUCAUCGUAGGAGGAUCGGCCCGCGUUGGUUUAGGUAGUUGGUGGGGUAACGGCCUACCAAGCCGACGCUCCAUAGCUGGGUUGAGAGAAAGCUCAGCCACACUGGGACUGGGACACGGCCCAGACUCCUACGGGAGGCAGGAGUGGGUAAUCUUGGACAAUGGGGGCAACCCUGAACCAGCCAUGCCGCGUGAUCGAUGAAGGCCUUAGGGUUGUAAAGAUCUUUCAGCUGGGAAGAUAAUGACGGUACCAGCAGAAGAAGCCCCGGCUAACUCCGUG